rnacentral:rRNA from 1 species
UAGGGAAUCUUCCGCAAUGGGCGAAAGCCUGACGGAGCAACGCCGCGUGAGUGAUGAAGGUCUUCGGAUCGUAAAACUCUGUUAUUAGGGAAGAACAAAUGUGUAAGUAACUAUGCACGUCUUGACGGUACCUAAUCAGAAAGCCACGGCUAACUACGUGCCAGCAGCCGCGGUAAUACGUAGGUGGCAAGCGUUAUCCGGAAUUAUUGGGCGUAAAGCGCGCGUAGGCGGUUUGUUAAGUCUGAUGUGAAAGCCCACGGCUCAACCGUGGAGGGUCAUUGGAAACUGGAAAACUUGAGUGCAGAAGAGGAAAGUGGAAUUCCAUGUGUAGCGGUGAAAUGCGCAGAGAUAUGGAGGAACACCAGUGGCGAAGGCGACUUUCUGGUCUGUAACUGACGCUGAUGUGCGAAAGCGUGGGGAUCAAACAGG